rnacentral:rRNA from 1 species
GACGAACGCUGGCGGCGUGCUUAACACAUGCAAGUCGAGCGGUAAGGCCCUUUCGGGGGUACGACGAGCGGCGAACGGGUGAGUAACACGUGGGUGACCUGCCCUCAGCUCUGGGAGUAAGCCUCGGGAAACCGGGUACUAAUACCGGAUAUGACUCCAUGACGCAUGUUGUGGGGUGGAAAGCCUUGUGCGGCUGAGGAUGGGCCCGCGGCCUAUCAGCUUGUUGGUGGGGUGAUGGCCUACCAAGGCGACGACGGGUAGCCGGCCUGAGAGGGCGACCGGCCACACUGGGACUGAGACACGGCCCAGACUCCUACGGGAGGCAGCAGUGGGGAAUCUUGCGCAAUGGGCGAAAGCCUGACGCAGCGACGCCGCGUGAGGGAUGACGGCCUGUG